AAAUGAAUUGACGGGGGCCCGCACAAGCAGCGGAGCAUGUGGUUUAAUUCGAAGCAACGCGAAGAACCUUACCAAGACUUGACAUCCUACUAAACUCAUGGAAACAUGAGGUCCUUUCGGGGGAGUAGAGACAGGUGGUGCAUGGUUGUCGUCAGCUCGUGUCGUGAGAUGUUGGGUUAAGUCCCGCAACGAGCGCAACCCUUGUUGCCAGUUACCAGCGAGUAAUGUCGGGGACUCUGGUGAGACUGCCGGGGACAACUCGGAGGAAGGUGGGGACGACGUCAAAUCAUCAUGCCCCUUAUGUCUUGGGCUACACACGUGCUACAAUGGCUGUAACAAAGGGAAGCAAGCCCGUAAGGGUAAGCGGAUCUCAUAAAAGCAGUCCCAGUUCGGAUUGUGGGCUGCAACCCGCCCACAUGAAGUCGGAGUUGCUAGUAAUCGCGGAUCAGCAUGCCGCGGUGAAUACGUUCCCGGGCCUUGUACACACCGCCCGU
rnacentral:rRNA from 1 species